rnacentral:lncRNA from 1 species
AGACAACUCGGCACUGGCUCAGAACCAGCCAGAACCUCAGCCCAUUCCAUAUCAUGCGGCCCCGCUUGAUCAACCUUUGGCACUUCUGCCUGAGCCACCGGCAGUAUUGCCAUAUAGCCCUAGAAGGAUGGACCCUAAUCCAUUCCCUCCACUUGCAAGAGGGAGGAGAGGCCGAGGAGGGAACAACCUUUUUGCCAAUCAUGA